GAACUCUGACGGCAUGUGUUUCAGCAGCAUCCGGUGUUCAUAUUUCUCCUUGAUCAUCCCCACCUGCUCCUGGAGGCUUCUCACCUUGUCCUUGAUCUUGCGCCAGGGAAGCUGCCCUACAGCGAAUUCCACCAGCAUGUAGAAGAGAGACCACAGGAACCCCUCUCUCCUUACUCAGCAACAGCCUACACUGCUACCCUCAGCUGUCCUCUGUCC